UAGAGUUUGAUCAUGGCUCAGGAUGAACGCUAGCGACAGGCUUAACACAUGCAAGUCGAGGGGCAGCGGGGAGGUAGCAAUACUUCCGCCGGCGACCGGCGCACGGGUGAGUAACACGUAUGGAACCUGCCCGUAGCAGGGGGAUAAACGGAAGAAAUUCCGUCUAAUACCGCGUAAUAACUCCGAGAGGCAUCUCAUGGAGUUUAAAGGGUAACACCGGCUACGGAUGGCCAUGCGGCGCAUUAGCUAGUUGGCGGGGUAACGGCCCACCAAGGCGACGAUGCGUAGGGGUUCUGAGAGGAAGGUCCCCCACACUGGUACUGAGACACGGACCAGACUCCUACGGGAGGCAGCAGUGAGGAAUAUUGGUCAAUGGGCGCGAGCCUGAACCAGCCAAGUCGCGUGAGGGAAGACGGUCCUAUGGAUUGUAAACCUCUUUUGUCGGGGAGCAAAAGACGCCACGCGUGGCGUUCCGAGAGUACCCGAAGAAAAAGCAUCGGCUAACUCCGUGCCAGCAGCCGCGGUAAUACGGAGGAUGCGAGCGUUAUCCGGAUUUAUUGGGUUUAAAGGGUGCGCAGGCGGAAGAUCAAGUCAGCGGUAAAAUUGAGAGGCUCAACCUCUUCGAGCCGUUGAAACUGGUUUUCUUGAGUGAGCGAGAAGUAUGCGGAAUGCGUGGUGUAGCGGUGAAAUGCAUAGAUAUCACGCAGAACUCCGAUUGCGAAGGCAGCAUACCGGCGCUCAACUGACGCUCAUGCACGAAAGUGUGGGUAUCGAACAGGAUUAGAUACCCUGGUAGUCCACACAGUAAACGAUGAAUACUAAUUGUUCGGGGAGAAUGAUCCCUGAGUGAUACAGCGAAAGCGUUAAGUAUUCCACCUGGGGAGUACGCCGGCAACGGUGAAACUCAAAGGAAUUGACGGGGGCCCGCACAAGCGGAGGAACAUGUGGUUUAAUUCGAUGAUACGCGAGGAACCUUACCCGGGCUCAAACGACACAGGAAUACUUUUGAAAGGAAGUAGCUCUACGGAGCCUGUGUCGAGGUGCUGCAUGGUUGUCGUCAGCUCGUGCCGUGAGGUGUCGGCUUAAGUGCCAUAACGAGCGCAACCCCCAUCGCCAGUUACCAGCAAGUCAAGUUGGGGACUCUGGCGAGACUGCCGGCGCAAGCUGUGAGGAAGGCGGGGAUGACGUCAAAUCAGCACGGCCCUUACGUCCGGGGCGACACACGUGUUACAAUGGCAGGUACAGAGAGAAGCAAUGCGGCGACGCAAAGCGGAACUUGAAAGCCUGUCUCAGUUCGGAUUGGAGUCUGCAACUCGACUCCAUGAAGCUGGAUUCGCUAGUAAUCGCGCAUCAGCCAUGGCGCGGUGAAUACGUUCCCGGGCCUUGUACACACCGCCCGUCAAGCCAUGGAAGCCGGGAGUGCCUGAAGUGUGCAACCGCAAGGAGCGCCCUAAGGUAAAACUGGUGACUGGGGCUAAGUCGUAACAAGGUAACCGUAA
rnacentral:rRNA from 1 species